rnacentral:rRNA from 1 species
UACGUAGGGGGCUAGCGUUGUCCGGAUUUAUUGGGCGUAAAGAGCGUGUAGGCGGCCAGGUAGGUCUGCUGUGAAAACUCGAGGCUCAACCUCGAGAUGUCGGCGGAAACCAUCUGGCUAGAGUCCGGAAGAGGAAAGUGGAAUUCCUGGUGUAGCGGUGAAAUGCGCAGAUAUCAGGAGGAACACCAAUAGCGAAGGCAGCUCGCUGGGACGUUACUGACACUGAGGCGCGAAAGCGUGGGGAGCGAACAGG